GUCACGAUUUCCAUGUAAAGUUUUGUUGCGCCUAAGCUAAGAAGCUAGCAACAAAAGUAUGUACGUGGCUCAAAUAUAUUAUCCACACAUGCACCUUUUCGAUCAGAUGCUAGCUGAUGCAAAAGUAUAGUUAGUAACAACCCCACUGAGAACACAUGCAUACAAUUUUUUUUCUUUUUUGAGAUAUACUAUAAAAAGCGUUGACCAGAGCACGUAUAUAUGAGGUGUAUGAGCACUUAGACAUGAGUACUACUACUUGACCGGGGUUGACCCGUGUUGCUCCUAAUUAAAGCACAUAUAUAUUCCUCUAGCUCGAUCUCUCAGUGGAUAAUGAUAGUGACAUGUACUGGAAAAUGUCAACAACAUCACCAACACUAUAUACCCUCGACACGCCCGCAUAUUCCACUACGGAUGGCACACAUCUGGUCAACUCCCGACACACAGUUAUUGCUAAUCUAGGAAGAGAGAACAGUGGUUUAUUUAACAGUUAACAACAACCUCAUUAAUUUUAUAGUCCAAG
rnacentral:lncRNA from 1 species